rnacentral:rRNA from 1 species
AUUGAACGCUGGCGGCAUGCCUUACACAUGCAAGUCGAACGGCAGCGGGGGAGAAGCUUGCUUUUCCUGCCGGCGAGUGGCGAACGGGUGAGUAAUACAUCGGAACGUGCCCUGUAGUGGGGGAUAACUAGUCGAAAGAUUAGCUAAUACCGCAUACGACCUGAGGGUGAAAGUGGGGGACCGCAAGGCCUCAUGCUAUAGGAGCGGCCGAUGUCUGAUUAGCUAGUUGGUGGGGUAAAGGCCUACCAAGGCGACGAUCAGUAGCUGGUCUGAGAGGACGAUCAGCCACACUGGGACUGAGACACGGCCCAGACUCCUACGGGAGGCAGCAGUGGGGAAUUUUGGACAAUGGGCGAAAGCCUGAUCCAGCAAUGCCGCGUGUGUGAAGAAGGCCUUCGGGUUGUAAAGCACUUCUGUCCGGAAAGAAAUGGCUCGGGUUAAUACCUGGGGUCGAUGACGGUACCGGAAGAAUAAGGACCGGCUAACUACGUGCCAGCAGCCGCCGUAA